CGCCUGCCCGUUCGACGAUUUUCCCGGUUGAUCCUGGCAGAGGUCACUGCUAUCGGGGUUCGAUUAAGCCAUGCGAGUCGAGAGGGUUCGGCCCUCGGCGUACUGCUCAGUAACACGUGGAUAACCUGCCCUAAGGAAGGGGAUACCCCCGGGAAACUGGGGAUAAUACCCUAUAGGUUACAGAUGCUGGAAUGCUCUGUAACCGAAAGUUCCGGCGCCUUAGGAUGGAUCUGCGGCCGAUUAGGUUGUUGUCGGGGUAACGGCCCAACAAGCCAGUAAUCGGUACGGGUUGUGGGAGCAAGAGCCCGGAGUUGGAUUCUGAGACACGAAUCCAGGCCCUACGGGGCGCAGCAGGCGCGAAAACUUUACAAUGCGGGCAACCGUGAUAAGGGAACCUCGAGUGCCUGUAUAUGCAGGCUGUCUGGGUGUCUAAAACACACCUAAAGAAAGGGCCGGGCAAGACCGGUGCCAGCCGCCGCGGUAAUACCGGCGGCUCGAGUGGUGGCCACUUUUAUUGGGCUUAAAGCGUUCGUAGCUGGGUUAUUAAGUCCCUUGGGAAAUCCGACGGCUUAACCGUCGGGCGUCUAAGGGAUACUGGCAAUCUUGGAACCGGGAGAGGUGAGGGGUACUUCGGGGGUAGGAGUGAAAUCCUGUAAUCCUCGAGGGACCGCCUGUGGCGAAGGCGCCUCACCAGAACGGCUUCGACAGUGAGGGACGAAAGCUGGGGGAGCAAACCGGAUUAGAUACCCGGGUAGUCCCAGCCGUAAACGAUGUGCGUUAGGUGUAUCGGUGACCACGAGUCACCGAGGUGCCGAAGGGAAGCCGUGAAACGUACCGCCUGGGAAGUACGGUCGCAAGGCUGAAACUUAAAGGAAUGGGCGGGGGGACAC
rnacentral:rRNA from 1 species